CGUCGCUCCUACCGAUUUCGAGUGAUCCGGUGAACCUUCUGGACUGAGCACGCUUGCGUGAACGGGAAGUUAAGUAAACCUAAUCACUUAGAGGAAGGAGAAGUCGUAACAAGGUUUCCGUAGGUGAACCUGCGGAAGGAUCAUUA
rnacentral:rRNA from 1 species